UGGGCGCAAGCCUGAUCCAGCAAUGCCGCGUGCAGGAUGAAGGCCUUCGGGUUGUAAACUGCUUUUGUACGGAACGAAAAGCCCUGGGUUAAUACCCUGGGGUCAUGACGGUACCGUAAGAAUAAGCACCGGCUAACUACGUGCCAGCAGCCGCGGUAAUACGUAGGGUGCGAGCGUUAAUCGGAAUUACUGGGCGUAAAGCGUGCGCAGGCGGUUUUGUAAGACAGAGGUGAAAUCCCCGGGCUCAACCUGGGAACUGCCUUUGUGACUGCAAGGCUAGAGUACGGCAGAGGGGGAUGGAAUUCCGCGUGUAGCAGUGAAAUGCGUAGAUAUGCGGAGGAACACCGAUGGCGAAGGCAAUCCCCUGGGCCUGUACUGACGCUCAUGCACGAAAGCGUGGGGAGCAAACAGGAUUAGAUACCCUGGUAGUCCACGCCCUAAACGAUGUCAACUGGUUGUUGGGUCUUAACUGACUCAGUAACGAAGCUAACGCGUGAAGUUGACCGCCUG
rnacentral:rRNA from 1 species